UUCGUUCAAUGAGAUAAAAUACGGUAUUAAUUGGAGGAAUAAAGAAAGAAAUAGACGUAGAGUUAGGAAAAAGGGGGUUGUUAUAAAACAGGGAAUGAGAAAUGAGGAAAUGAGAAAUGAGGAAAUGAGGAAAUAAGAAAUAGGAAAUGAGGAAAUGAAGAAAUGAGAACGAGAAAUGAGCUGUUAGGCAGAGCAUAUCUAUGGGCAGAGCAAGUCUGAAGACAAAGCUAACAUCUACUGAGCUACAGGUACGUACCUCCUGGUGACAAGUCUCCUGGUGCUCUGCCACCAUGAUACAGAACUUAUGUUCCUCUGGUACACGGUGUGACACUCUCUACGGUACCUCUAUCUACUUGUGUGCCAUGUACGACUGGCAUGGUUCAGACAUCAGAUCUACCUACGUAACGGUACUUACAUGUACUGUCCUACAAACAAUUUACCUAUGCGUGGCUAUACUGGCAAUACAUUCAAUGAUUUCACAAUCCGGUGGGCAAGUGAUAGUCAAUGGACUGGACUCAAUGUCAACAUCUACAUGGUGAAGAAAGCAAUUCCCAUUACCAUUCUCACAAGCAAUGCCUAGUGAAAGCUGAUGCUACCUUUAAUGAAGAAAGCUCACUGUGCCAUCUGAAGCGAUGGUAAAAUUUAAUUCUUACAAUGUGUCCGACAACUUGUACUGUGUGGAGGUGCCACUAUAAUUAUUUAUUGCUUUUUAAUAAGUGCUGACAUCAGCGUUUUACAUUCAAAUUGCACAGGAAGCGACUCAUCACCAACUGUGCAGAUAUUUUUCCAUAUUGCACACUAGGAAGUGAUUCUUAUUUGGAAUAAAACGUUUUCAGCAGUGAGAGAACAAGAAAAACAUAGUUUACACACUUAUAAUCAUGCAUUGCAAUGUUUAUCAGUCUAUUUUCUUGUUUUCUGAUGCUCUGUAUCACUUCUGUGCUCUUUUUGCAGUGAAGCUGAGGGUCAGGAGGUUGUCAGUGUUCUUAUUUAACGCAUCAAACAGGCAUCAGUGUUGGAAGUGGGUGCUUUGAGCGGAGUAUUGCACAUGUAGAAGUGUACUGCACCACCAUAUAAGCCUGUUCAGGCUUGUAUAAAGUCGUUUUGGCUUCAAAAACGGUUGUCACACUUUUCUUCAGUUAUAGCGGUGCAUGUUUCCUCUUCUGAUACACUGGAGCAUGAUAGAAAGUAAGCACAUGCUGUUUAUCCUUCAGAACUAUCCAUUUUCAAAACGGGUUGCUGGUUGUCAACGUUUUUCUUGUCUUUUUUUCUUGUCUGUUCUCUACAAAAUCUUUAAGCAGCCUUCUGCAAGCUCUCUUGGUGUUCUAGAGUCUUAUUUCUUUGUCUUUCUAGCUGUUUUCUUUCUCUUAAACUCGUCUUCAACUGGGAGAACUCAAUUUUGUUGCUACGCAUUCUUCUGGUUGAUAAAGCAACUGCAUGUUGCGCAUGCGCAGAUUCAACCUGCAUUUUGGUUGCCAAGCAAUAAAUGCAUUAUCCCAUGGAUACUGAUGAUUAUCACUCGUCCGUGCCUAGUAACUGUCACUCGUGCCUUGCAGGCACUCGUGCAGUUACUGGCACAGACUCGUGAUAAUCCUCAGUAUCCAUAGGAUAAUAUCAUAAUAUUUGAUAACUAAAUACUUAGUCACCUACUAGCUUCUUGGCUGAUAUCAGUCAUUACUUUUGUGCAUCUAUAUAAUAUAAUUAUUAUUAUAACAAUGUCAUAAUUAUUGUGAUGAAAAUUAAUGCCAUGGUGAUGAUCGUAACCAUAAAUAUAUUAUUAUUAUCUUAUUUCUUCAUUUCCUCAUUUCCUAUUUCUUAUUUCCUCAUUUCCUCAUUUCUUAUUUCUCAUUUCCUCAUUUCUCA